UGAGGAAUAUUGGUCAAUGGGCGGAAGCCUGAACCAGCCAAGUCGCGUGAGGGAAGACGGUCCUAUGGAUUGUAAAACCCUUUCAGGGUUGCAGGGCAAGACCAUGACUUGAUACGUGUAACAGGUUGGAGAGUACCCUGAGAAAAAGCAUCGGCUAACUCCGUGCCAGCAGCCGCGGUAAUACGGAGGAUGCGAGCGUUAUCCGGAUUUAUUGGGUUUAAAGGGUGCGUAGGCGGGCUGGUAAGUCAGCGGUAAAAAUGCGGUGCUCAACGCCGUAGUGCCGUUGAAACUGCCGGUCUUGAGUGAGCGAGAAGUAUGCGGAAUGCGUGGUGUAGCGGUGAAAUGCAUAGAUAUCACGCAGAACUCCGAUUGCGAAGGCAGCAUACCGGCGCCCGACUGACGCUCAUGCACGAAAGCGUGGGUAUCGAAACA
rnacentral:rRNA from 1 species